rnacentral:sRNA from 1 species
UCGCACAAUACACAGUGUGGCAUGGCGGC